GAAGACAGCAGUUCCCAGAAAAGGGCCAACGUUUAUCAUUCCUUUUAGCUGGAGAAGAUGGGCACUGGGCUGGAACAGAACGGCCAGCUUUGGCUUGGUGUAAGGAAGUAAUCGCAGGAGGGAAAGGAGGAAAUGGCCACCUGGAAGCAAUAGGUUGUGAUAUACCUGAGCUUUCUCUGUGAGGGAAGUGCCAUAGAGCAAGCCCAGCGGAAGACGCACCAGUGAUGUGAUGUUAUCUGACACUCAUCUGUCAGGCUAAGGAGUUAAGGCCCUUUAUUUAUUAACCUGCCCGUCUACACAGUCCUUGCAGAGAGUCACCAACAUGUGACAUACACCAACAUGUGACAC